AGAGUUUGAUCAUGGCUCAGAGUGAACGCUGGCGGCGUGCUUAACACAUGCAAGUCGAGCGAAUUCUGGCAGCGUAUCGCCAGAGUUAGCGGCAGACGGGUGAGUAAUACUUGGGUAAUCUACCCUUGAGUGGGAAACAACCUGCCGAAAGGCGGGCUAAUGUCCCAUAAGACCACAGGAUGGCAUCAUCCAGGGGUCAAAGCUCCGCAAGGGGCGCUUUUGGAGGAACCCGAGUCCUAUCAUGGUAGUUGGUGAGGUAAUGGCUCACCAAGCCUUUGACGGGUAGCCGGCCUGAAAGGGUGAUCGGCCACACUGGCACUGAGACACGGGCCAGACUCCUACGGGAGGCAGCAGUGGGGAAUUUUGGACAAUGGGGGCAACCCUGAUCCAGCGACGCCGCGUGAAGGACGGAGGUCUUCGGAUUGUAAACUUCUUUUGAAGGGGAUGAAUGUUCUGGUGAAUAGCCAGACGUGACAGUACUCUUCGAAUAAGCCACGGCUAACUACGUGCCAGCAGCCGCGGUAAUACGUAGGUGGCAAGCGUUACUCGGAAUCACUAGGCGUAAAGCGCAGGUAGGCGGUUCGGUAAGUCUUUUGUGAAAGCUCCUGGCUCAACUGGGAGAGGUCAAAGGAAACUACCGGGCUAGAGUGUGGUAGGGGAUACUGGAAUUCCUGGUGUAGCGGUGAAAUGCGUAGAUAUCAGGAGGAAUACCUAUGGCGAAAGCAGGUAUCUGGGCCAUCACUGACGCUGAGCUGCGAAAGCUAGGGGAGCAAACAGGAUUAGAUACCCUAGUAGUCC
rnacentral:rRNA from 1 species